GCGGAAGGAUCAUUACCGAGAAAGGGUUUCCCUGUCGGGGCCCGACCUCUUCACCGUGCUGAAUCGGACCCUGUUGCUUCAGCGGGCUGGAGGGUGAUGCCUUCGCCCUCCCCAGCUAGGCCCGCUGGAGACCCUUGUCACAUACCGAUGCGUCAACGCAUGUCUGUCUGAGUGGGAAUGCAAUCUAGUCGCAAAACUUUCAACAAUGGAUCUCUUGGUUCCGGCAUCGAUGAAGAACGCAGCGAAAUGCGAUAAGUAAUGUGAAUUGCAGAAUUCCGUGAAUCAUCGAAUCUUUGAACGCAUAUUGCGCCCUCUGGCAUUCCAGAGGGCAUGCCUGUCCGAGUGUCAUUGCCUCUCUCCAAGCCCCUCAGCUUGGGUGUUGGGCCUGUCGUCCCCCUCCCGUGGCGGGGUUGGGACGGGCCUGAAAGACAACGGCGAUGCGAUGGUCAGCUCCCGAGCGUAUGGGUUCAUUCUCCCGCUCUAGGUGUGAUCGGCAUCUGCCCCUGCCCUGCAGUGCUGACUCCAGUGGACCUCGGAUCAGGUAAGGAUACCCGCUGAACUUAAGCAUAUCAAUAAGCGGAGGA
rnacentral:sRNA from 1 species